AUUGAACGCUGGCGGCAGGCCUAACACAUGCAAGUCGAACGAGUGGCGGACGGGUGAGUAAUGUCUGGGAAACUGCCCGAUGGAGGGGGAUAACUACUGGAAACGGUAGCUAAUACCGCAUACCAUCGGAUGUGCCCAGAUGGGAUUAGCUAGUUGGGGGGGUAACGGCUCACCUAGGCGACGAUCCCUAGCUGGUCUGAGAGGAUGACCAGCAAAACUGGAACUGAGACACGGGCCAGACUCCUACGGGAGGCAGCAGUGGGGAAUAGUGCACAAUGGGCGCAAGCCUGAUGCAGCCAUGCCGCGUGGAUGAAGAAGGCCUUCGGGUUGUAAAGUACUUUCAGCGAGGAGGCGUUACCCGCAGAAGAAGCACCGGCUAACUCCGUGCCAGCAGCCGCGGUAAUUC
rnacentral:rRNA from 1 species